rnacentral:tRNA from 1 species
AUUUAAGUAGUUUAAAUAAAAUAUUGAUUUGUGGUGUCAAUGAUAUGAAGUAUUCAUCUUAGAUC